GGUUGGUCCGAGUGCAGUGGUGUUUACAACUAAUUGAAUCACAACCAGUUACAGAUUCCUUUGUUCUUCUCCACUCCACUGCUCCACUUGACAGCUUAAA
rnacentral:Y_RNA from 1 species